rnacentral:rRNA from 1 species
AGAUUGAACGCUGGCGGCAGGCCUAACACAUGCAAGUCGAGCGGCAGCACGGGUACUUGUACCUGGUGGCGAGCGGCGGACGGGUGAGUAAUGCCUAGGAAUCUGCCUGGUAGUGGGGGAUAACGCUCGGAAACGGACGCUAAUACCGCAUACGUCCUACGGGAGAAAGCAGGGGACCUUCGGGCCUUGCGCUAUCAGAUGUGCCUAGGUCGGAUUAGCUAGUUGGUGAGUAAUGGCUCACCAAGGCGACGAUCCGUAACUGGUCUGGAGAGGACUGAUCGAGUCAACUACGUGGAACUGAAGUACACGGGUUCCAGACCUCCGUACGGGAGCAGCAGGUGGGAAUAGUUGGACAGUGGGACAAGCUGAUCCAGUCCAUCGCCGCGUGUG